AAGUUAACUAAAUCUUAUAUAUUCCCCAAGAACUGAUAGUACAAAUCAUAAGCUUCUAAAAAUAGAAUUUACAUAGCCAAUAUGAAAUAAAUACAUCAUCUCUUUAUGAAUAGAGUCUUUAUGAAUCUAAGGCUACCAUGAACAAGUAACUGCAAUCGAAAUGCUGGUACGUCUUAAAGUCCAUCUCCAGUUGAUAAUAUCAACAUCAUUAGUCAACAUCUGCACGCAAGUUACAGAACUGUAGUAUCAGUAGAACCGACCCCAUGUACGUAAUAAAUAAAGAACCUGACUUUAGGUUGAAAGUAGUGAGGAGCGAGAAUAAACGUCUCGUCUAAUUCCAAUAGCCAUGAACAGCUCAUAACAACAUAAAGCAAGUAACAAAAUAAGUAACUCGGAAUUCAAAUUCUCAGCUUAUUCAUAAUUCCCGAAAAUCGUUCUGUUUAUCAAUCUCGAUGUCUCGCAUUUCUCUCUUACCGUGCUCAAUACUCAGGUUACUCAACCACUCAACACUGUAUAAUACUCAUUGUGUCAUGCAACGCGAUCAACAUAUAUAUAGCCAUAAUUCGCGUUGCGAUGUGCAACCCAUUCUAUAUAUACAUAAUAAACUACGCUCACUAGGGGUGUGUGCAGACUUUGGAGGGGAUGUUUCAGCCAAAGCUCUAUAUCGAAGCAUUGUGCAAUUCGAUCCCAUAAAAUGUACUCAAUAUAGCAUGUUGCGGCGUGCAGCCCGAUCUCAUAAUAUCACUUUUACUCAGGCCCUUGGCCUCACUCAAUCAUCAAACUUUCCAGUCUCUCAGGUUACAAAGCCACAAAACUAGCACAAAAUGAUGAUAUGAUAUAGUAAUAAAUGAUAACAAAGACUGAGAUAUGAUAUGCAUAUGAUGCCUAUGACUAACUAUGUGAAGCAAUGGAAGCACAUAGCUCAACAACAAAAAUGACCUCAGUGGGUCCCAACAAGAUAAGCAUGUAGCCUAGACAUGGUUUUUGACAUGUAUCACAGCUCAAUAGUUAAAGUACGUAGGAAUUUCAUGGAUACAAGUAAGAUCAUGUAACUACUCAGUACUAUAGAAAUAACAGAGUCACAAAUUAUAUGAUGUACGCCCACACACCUGUCACCUAAAAUAUGCUUCACCUCAACACUAAUCACAUAACACGUAAUUCAGGGUUUCACACCCUCAACACCAUGUUUAAAAUUGUUAUUUACCUCGAACAAGAAAAUUCCAAUAUUGAGCAAGCCAAGCAAUGCUCCAAGAAUACUAUUCUGCACGUAUUGACCUCCAAACGGCUCGAAACUAGCCAAAAGAAACUCAAAUACAUCAAAUAAUGCCCGAGGAACUAAUUCCAAAUGAUAAAGAUCGAAUCCUUAAUCAAAACAAAAAGUCAGCCAAAAGUCACAAGCACAGAAGCCUCCCAAAAUACAGUACGCGAUCGCAAAAUGGACACGCGAAUGAGUUGGAGAUCGCGGACAACACUACUUCAUGCCUUCACAAAAGCAUCUCACCUUAUGCAAAUACGUUGAAGAAUUUCUCUAGCCCCAACUCAUUCCAAACCACUACGCGAAUGUGUGGUCAUCAACGCAGACAGUGACGCUCAAUCUGCCACAAUAUAUGUGAACUCAGACCCAUGUUCGCGAACGCAAAGAAGAAACAAUCAGCCUUAGAUUUUCCGUAACCCUCGGGACCACGUCUAAACAUUCCAACAAGUACCAUAACAUAACACGGACCUACUUAAGGCCUCAAAUCACGCAUAACAACAUCAAAAUGAUGAAAUACACAUUGGGGCUUAAGGAAAUUUGAACCUACAAAUUCCACAUUUCGUGCCGAAACACAACAAAUAAAUUUGGAAUAAACAUACAUUUUUUACAUAAGUCCCAAAUGACAUAGAGAAGCUAUUCCAAUUUCCAGAACCAUAUUUUGGAUCAGAUAACGGAAAGUGCACUUCCGGUUAAACUUUCCAAAUAUCCAACUUUUUACCAUUCCAAGACAAAUUCAACUACGGACCUACAAAUCACAAUUCAAACACGCUCUAAAGUCCAAAAUUACCCAACGGAGAUAACACAACCAUUUAAACUCCAAUGCGAGAUCAAUUAAUUAAAAGUCAAGUUUGAUAAACUCUUCCAAUUUAAACAUUUCUAAUUGAGAACCAUUAUUCUAAAUCAAUUCUGAAUAAAUACAUAAAACAAUGCUACUGAAGACUUCAAAUAGCAGAACAAGAUGGAAAUGCUCAAAAUGACCGAUCGAGUCGUUACAUGAACAACCCACCCGACCCUGCUCAAAUAAUAACUUUGACGACCCGACAAGUUGUCUCAUGAGUUGCCGCUCUGUUUCUCCCAUUUUUGCUUCUUAUUACUUUGUUUAUCGGUUCGAUGUAUGAUCGGGUUGGUUGGCUUGGCUCCGGAAAGGAUUUGGUAAGGUUUGAGAAAAUGGUCCUUUUUUAGGAAGCUUAAGUUGAAAAAAGUCAACAAGAUAUUGACUUAUGUGUUGGAGGGCUCGGUGUGAGUUUCGAUUAUUCAGAUAGCUUUGUUAGGUGAUUUGGGACUGAGGAGCCUGAUCAGAAUGAGUAUUGGAGGUUCGGAGUAGAUUUAGGCUUGAAUUGGCAAAGUUGAUAUUUUGAUGAUUUCCAGUUGGUAGGUGAGAUUUUGAUAUAGGGGUCGGAACAGAAUUCCUAGAGUUGAGAUAGUUUCUUAUUUCAUUUACGAUGUGUGUGUAAAAUUUUAAGUCAUUCAAACGUGGUUUGGUUAGGUUUAUGAUCUAAAGCAGAAUUCAGAAGAUUUUGGAAACAUAGGCUUAAAUCCGUCGUGUUUUGGUUGAUCUGAUGUUGUUUGAGGUGUUUUGAAGAUUAGUAUAAGUUUGAAUAAGGUUACGGGUUAUGUUUGUCCUUUUGGUUGAGGUCCUAGGAGCCUCAAGGUGAUUUUGGAUAGUUGACGGAGAAGUUGGAGUUUUGGUGAGUUGUAGAUUUUUGUUGCUUCUGGUAUUUUCGCAACUGCGAUUGGGGACCACAGGGAAGAUGCAAGAAGGGAGGUCCCAGAAGUAGAAAAUUCUUGGGAAGGCAGGAACUGUUGAUGCAAUUGUGGGACCACACCCGCGAAAGCGCAGGUGCAGAAUGUUUAUCAGAUACGAUUUUGCCGGUAAGUGAAGAACCGCAUAAGUGGUUCAUUGGCUGCAAAUGCAGUAUGUUGAAGCAGAAGUUGGGUUGCAGAUGAAGAAAUGCCUCGGUCAAAAUGUAUAAGAUUUUUCCUUUACGAAUUUCAUAAGGGUUUCAUCAUUUUUUAAAAGCAAUUUCUGGAGUUUUGGACGAUUUUGAAGAAGGAUUUCGAGGGAACUUCAUUGAGAUAAAGAUUUUGACCUAAAACUCGUUCUUAUGGUAUUAUUUCACGGUUUAAAGCUAUAAUUAAUGAAACUUAAGGGUAAAAAUUGGGGAAAACUAGGGCUUAGAAACAUAGGCCUAGACAUAAGGAUUUGAGGGAGCAUUGGUGGUCGGAUUUCCGAGCUUUUGAUAUGUAUGAACUCGUGGGGAAAUAAGGAAUCUAUUGAUGUUAAUUUUAUUAAUUCCGAGAUGUGGGCCCAGGUGUCGGGUUUUGGUAAUUUUUAUAUUUUUGCUCUAAAUUGAUUUUCUUCGCAUGGGUUUCGUUCCCUUAGCAUAUUUUUAUGCCGUGAUUCUGAGUUCGGAUAGAUUCGAGGCUACUGGAGGACGAUUCGACGAUAAAAGGCAUUGCGGGAGUAAUGAUUGUAAAUGAUGUUCUGAGGGUAUGAAUCCCUGGAUUGCACAUCAUUGUGCUAUUUUGAGGUGACGCACACGCUUGAUGACGAGUGAGGGUGGUGCACUAUUGGGGAUUGUGACUUAGUCCAUCCUGAAUGACUAUUUUACCACGUAUUUAACUGAAAUCUAUUUAUUUAUAUCAUGUUUUUGGUUGAACAUCAUAUUUGGGCCUCGUGCCAACUAUGUGAACCCUUAGGGAUUUUUAUUGAUAUUUCCUCACGAUUUUGACUUUAUACUUGUACUCGGCCAUGCUACAUUUUCACUGUUUUAUAACUCAGCCAUGUUACUCUAUUUCAGUACUUAAAUGGUCUUUUAAAUUAUAUUUGGGUUGAGAAUUGUGUUUUACUAUCGCACGAAUGGCUUUGAAGAUUUUUACUGAGUAAGGAUGAGGGCCUAUGUUGUGAGGAAACACUGAUUAUGAUUAUGAGGUUGAGGGCCUGAGAUAUGUACACCACGAUAUGAUAUGUUGAUUAUAAGGCAUUGGUCCUGAGAUUUAUGCGCCACGAGAUGGCUUGUUAUUGCUCUUGGGCUAGGGGCCCCUUCAUGAGUUUGUACACCCCCACUGAGCAUGAAUACCUAUUAUGAUGUGAAAUGUAGCCCAAGGGACUGGUAUUAUUUUGAGAUAUUGCCCAAGGGGCAGAUUGUUGGCAUUGUGGCCAAGGGGCAAACUUUUAUGUGCCUAUCUUUCUUAUUUGUCUGUUGAUUACCUAUGUAAUUGUUUAAAAGUUAUUUCCUAAGGUUUCAAGCAGAACUUAAAUGAUUUUUCAUAUCUUUACUGGUUUAAGUGCUUCAUUAUAGCCUGCAUGUGCCUUACGUGUUUCCAUAUCUCUCAGUCGUUUAUAUAUGAUGAUUAAUCGCUGAGUCGGAGUACUUAGUUUACUCCCUACACCAUGUUUGAAGAUUUAGGCACAUUUGUUCCCGCUUUCGAGUGUUGAUCUUUCCAGCUUAGGUGGAUCCAAAGAUUCUCUAGGUAGUUACCGGCAUUUGCAUCCCAGUGCUUCUUCCUUAUCUUAUUUCUCUUUGUUUUAUUUUUGUAUUGAACUCGGUAGACUUUUCUUGAUUAUUCUGGAUUUCAGGUGAUCUUGAAUAGUGACGGGCUAUGUGGGGUUAUAUUCUGAAAAUUAUGGUACUAUCUGCUACUUUCAUAUUCUAUUUAUUAUUCUCUAAACUUAUUUCUUAUGGUUUAACUAUUAAAAAAAAUUGGAAUGGAAUGCGUCGGCUGGUCUUGUCUUCACGAGGGGCACCAUCAUGACCGGGUCCGAGUUUAGGGUCGUGACAAUUUUGUAUCAGAGCCUAGGUUACAAAGGUCUCACAAGUUAUGAGCAGGUUUAGUAGAGUCUUGUGGAUCAAUAUGGAGACGUCUGUAUUUAUCCUCAAGAGGCUGCAGAACAUUUAGGAAAAAAACAUCAUAUUCUUGAAACUCUUCUCGUGCCAAUUUAUUGAUCUGAGUGCUAAACUUCUGCUAUUCUAUUCUGUUAAAGAUGGUAAUAACACGCGCUACCGUUCAGGAUGGAAAACCACCAGUACCAUCAGAUGUGUCCACUAGAGGCAAAUGAUGCAGUCAUAGUCGUGGUAGGGGCAGAGAUGUGGCCGACACACCAGCUAGGGAAACAGCUACGGAUCCACGAGCCGUCCCAAUUCAAGAUCAGGUCCUAUUUGUGGGUGCUCCAGCAACACCAACUCAGGCACCAACUGUGCCUAUUAUGAUUUUGGGUCUUCAGGAGGCCUUGGCUCAGAUUCUAUCAGUUUGAAUUGGCCUAGCUCACGCGAAUUUAGUCACUACAACCGCAGCUACUUCUCAUGCCGGGGAAGGCAAUCAGACUCCCGUCAAUCACACACCAUAGAAGGCCGUGCAUUCACUUUAAACACCAGGGGCUCAUCCAGCCCAACUAGUUACAACUGCUCAGGACUAUGUAGCUCUUGCCAUGCUAGAGGACGAGCAACAGAGGUUGGAGAGGUUUGGUGGACUUCAGCCUCUGACUUUCAGCGGUGCAGAGGGUGAGGAUGCCCGGGGUUUCUUAGAUAGGUGUCAGCAAAUUCUUUGCACAACGGGUAUUCUGGAGAUGGUUGCUUUCACUACUUUUUAAUUUUCUGGAGCUGACUUCACUUGGUGGGAGGCAUUUGAGAAGCGUAGGCCUAUUGGUGCAGUACCCCUUACCUGGCAACAGUUCUCUGUUCUCUUUCUAGAAAAGUGCAGUGUCACUGAGAGGAGCUGCACUGGCAGUUUGAGUGGUUGCAUCAGGGAGAUGACCAUGGCGCGGUAUGAGAUAAGGUUUUCUGAGUUAGAUCGUCAUGCUAUUUGGCUGGUUCCGACAGAUAGAGAGAGGAUUAGGAGGUUUGUUGAUGGCCUCACUUAUCACUUUGUAUCCUCAUGACCAGGGAGAGGGCGUAUAGUGCUACAUUUGAGGGGAUUAUAGAGAGAUUGAGUCAGUCCAUUGCCAAGAGCGAGAGGAGAGGGAGGCCAAGACACAUCGAGGAUAUAGUAGUUAUAGUGUUGCUCCUUCUAGAGGUUAGUUUCUACAAGGCAGAGGUCGUCCAUUUAGGCAUGCUCAGCCACCUCACCCAGGUUAUCGUAGGGCCACCGGGUCAUGGUUCUCACAAUUCUCAGCAGGGCCAGUAAUCCCUUAGUGCCCUUCCAGCUCAGAGUUCAUCCUGUGCUUCCUCAGUUCAGGGCUCUUCUAUACCAGGUACUUCAGCUAGUUACUUCGGUGCGAGGGUUCUCUUCAGCCCCCUUCUCCAGCACCUAGGAGUUGUUAUGAGUUUGGAGAUAUGGUUCACAUAUGGAGGCAAUGUCCUCGUCAUCUUGCAGGUUCAUCCCAGCUGAGGGGUCAGCAACUGGCUUCAGCGCCAAUUGCUUCAUCACAUCAUGCCCAGCUAGCUAGGGGUAGAGGUCAGUCAACUAGAGGUUUCCCCAAAGGGGGAGGCCGAUUAGAUUGGGGUCAGGCCCAUUUUUAUGGACUCCCAGCUAGAUCUGAUGCUAUUGGUUUCGAUGCUAUUAUUACAGGUAUUGUUUCAGUCCGCCAGAGAGUUUCUUCUUUAUUAUUUGAUCCCAGUUCCAUAUUUUCUUAUGAGUCAUCAUAUUUUGCUCAUUAUUUGAGUACGCCUUGUGAGUCCCUUGUUUCUCCUUUUCAUAUAUCUACCCCUAUGGGCGAUACUGUUGUUGUAGACCGUGUGUACAGGUCAUUUGUGGUGACUAUUGGGGGUCUACAGACGCCAAUGGACCUUUUAUUAUUAUGUAUGGUGGAUUUUGAUGUCAUUUAGGGUAUGGAUUGGUUAUCUCUGUGUCGUGCUAUUCUGGACUGUCAUGCUAAGACAAUCACAUUGGCUAUACUAGGUGUUCCAUGGAUUGAGUGGCGAGGUUUGUCUGAUUAGGUUCCUAGUAGAAUAAUUUCAUUUUUGAAGGCCCAUCGUAUGGUUGGGAAGAGUUAUCUUUCGUAUCUAGCCUUUGUGAGGGAUGUCGAUGCACAAACUCCUUAUAUUGAUUCGGUUCCAGUUGUGAGGCAUUUUCUCAAUGUGUUUCCUUUAGAUCUGCCGGGCAUACCAUCGGAUAGGGAUAUUGAUUUUGGUAUUGACCUGAUGUCGGGCACUCAGCCCAUUUCGAUUCUACCAUAUCCUAUCGCACCAUCAAAGUUAAAGGUGUUAAAGGAGUAGCUUCAGGAGCUCCUUCAGAAGGGGUUCAUUCGGCCUAGUGUGUUGCCUUUGGGUGCGUCAAUUCUAUUUCUGGAGAAGAAGGAUGGCACUAUGAGAAUGUGCAUUGAUUAUAGGCAAUUGAACAAAGUAAUAGUUAGCAACAAGUAUCAUUUGCCUCGCAUUGAUGAUUUAUUCUACCAACUUUAGAGAGCGAGAAUGUUCUUCAAGAUUAAUCUUCAUUCUGUUAUCGACAAUUAAAGAUCAGGGACGUGGAUAUUCUUAAGACAAUAUUCAGGACUAGAUAUGCUCAUUAUGAGUUUUUGGUGAUGUCUUUUCGACUGACUAAUACCCCAGUAACAUUCAUGCAUUUGAUGAAUAGUAUCUUUCACCUGUAUCUCGGCUUGUUUUCAUAGUCUUCAUUGAUUAUAUUCUGGUAUACUCACAUAGUUAGGAGGAGCACGCAGAGAAUUUGAGAGAUGUACUGCAGAGAAUUAGGGAGAAGAAGCUUUAGGAAAUGUUCUCCAAGUGUGAGUUUUGGCUCAGUUAAGUGGCAUUCCUGGGGCACAUGGUUUCCACUAAGGUUAUUCAGGUUGAUUUGAAGAAGAUAGAUGCAGUUCAGAGUUAGCCCAGACAGUCCUCAGCCAUAGAGAUUCGCAGAUCUUGGUUUGGUGGGUUAUUAUUGCUGGUUUUUUCAUGGAUUCUCAUCUAUCGCAUCGACCUUGACCAAGUUAACUCACAAGGGAUCUUCAUUUGUAUGGUCGAACGAGUGUGAGGAGAGCUUUCAAAAGCUCAAAACAGCCUUGAUCACAACUCAAGUGUUAGUUUUUCCAUCAGCUUCAGGUUCAUAUAGUGUGUAUUGUGGUGCUUCGCCAGUUGGUAAUGGUUGUGUGUUGAUGCAGGAGGGUAGAGUUAUUGCUUAAGAAUUUUGUCAGUUGAAGCCCCAUGUGAAGAACUAUCCCGUUCAUGAUUUGGAGUUGGCUGCCAUAGUUCACGAGUUAAAUAUUUAGAGGCAUUACUUGUAUAGUGUGUCUUGCGAGGUGUUUACGAAUCAUAGUAGCCUCCAACACUUGUUCAAGUAGAAGGAUUUUAAUUUGAGGUAGCAGAGAUGGUAAGAGUUUCUAAAAGAUUAUGAUAUAAGUAUAUUGUACCAUCUAGGAAAGGCUAAUGUGGUACUUGAUACUUUAAGCUGAAAGGAAGUGAGUAUGGGGAGCCUGGCAUAUAUUCUAGUUGGGGAUCAGUUCGUAAGGUUAGAUAUUUUGGAGCCCAGUCGUGUAUUGGCUUGUGUGGUUUCUCGGUCUUCGUUAUAUGAUCGCAUCAGAGAAUGCCAGUAUAAUGAUCUACAUUUGCUUGUCCUUAAGGACAGAGUUCAGCACGAUGAUGCUAGAGAUGUGACCAUUGGUGAUGAUGGGGUGUUGAGUAUGUAGGACCGGAUAUGUGUGCCCAAUGUAGAUGGGCUUCGAGAAUUGAUUCUAGAGAAGCCCCAUAGCUUGCGGUAUUCCAUUCAUCCGGGUGCCGCAGAGAUGAGAGAGCGCCAAUAUGAUGAUUUGCAUUUGCUUGUCUUUAAGGACAGUGUUCAGCAAGAUGAUACCACAAUUGUGACCAUUGGUGAUUAUGGGGUGUUGAUGAUGCAGGGCUAGAUUUAUGGGCCCAAUGUAGAUGGUCUUCAAGAGUUGAUUCUACAGGAGGCCCAUAGCUCACAGUAUUCCAUUUAUCCGAGUGCCGCAAAGAUGUAUUAGGAUCUGAAACAACAUUAUUGGUGGAGAAGAAUGAAGAAAGACAUUGUUGGGUUUCUAGCUCGAUGUCUCAAUUGUCAGCAGAUGAAAUAUGAGCAUCAGAGACCAGGUGGCUUGCAUUAGCGAAUGGAUAUACCAGAGUGGAAGUGUGAUAGGAUCACUAUAGACUUUGUAGUUGGACUCCCACGGACUUUGAAGAAGUUUGAUGCUAUUUGGGUGAUUGUGGAUCAGUUGGCCAAGUUCACAGCUUCAUUCCAGUGUGUACUACGUAUUCUUCAAAGUGGAUGGUAGGGAUCUACACUCGAGAGAUUAUUCGUUUGCAUGGUAUCCUAAUUUCCAUCAUUUCAGAUAGAGACACUCAGUUUACUUCACAGUUUUGGAGGUCUGUGCAGAGAGAGUUGGGUACUCAGGUUGAAUUGAGCAUAACUUUUCACCCUCAAACUGACGGCAAAUCUGAGCGCACUAUUCAAAUAUUGGAGGAGAUGUUGCGUGCUUGUGCCAUUGAUUUCGGAUUAUUAUAGGAUCAGUUUCUACCGCUCACGGAGUUUGAUUUUAAUAAUAGCUACCAGUCGAGUUUUUAGAUAGCUCCAUAUGAGGGUUUGCAUGGGAGGCGGUGUAGAUCUCCGGUUGGUUGGAUUGAGCCGGAUGAGGCUAGGCUAUUGGGGACAAACUUGUUUCAGGAUGCUUUGGACAAGGCAAAUGUGAUUCAAGAGAGGCUUCGUACAGCGCAAUCGAGACAAAAGAGUUAUGCUGACAAGAAGCUUCUAGAUGUGUCCUAUAUGGUUGGUGAGAAGGUUCUGUUGAAGGUUUCGACCAUAAAGGGUAUUAUGAGAUUUGGGAAGAAAGGGAAAUUGAGUCCGCGUUCAUUAGGCCUUUUGAAAUAUUUUGGAGGAUUAGGGAGGUGGCUUAUGAGCUUGCGUUGCCACCCUGCUUGUUGAGUGUGCAUUCGAUAUUUCAUGUUUCUAUGCUUGAGAAGUAUAUUGGGGAUCAUAUUUUGGAUUUCAGCAUUGUUUAGUUGGAUGGUGAUUUAUCUUAUGAUGCGGAGCCAACAGCUAUUUUGGAGCGUUAGGUUCGAAAGUUGAGAUCAAAGGAUUUAGCUUCAGUGAAUGUGCAAUGGAGAGGUUGGCCCAUGGAGGAGGCUACCUGGGAGACCGAGUAGGAGAUAUGGAGCAAAUAUCCUUACCUUUUUGAGGCUUCAGGUCUGUUUCUUGACUCGUUCGAGGAUGAACGUUUGUUUUAGUUAGGGAGGAUGUGACGAUCCGGCCAGUUGUCUCAUGAGUUACUGCUCCGUUUCCCCUAUUUCUGCUUAUUCUUGCUUCAUUUAUCAGUUCUAUGUGUGAUCGGGUUGGUUGGCUCGUUUUUGGAAAUGAUUUGGUAAUGUUUGAGACACUUAGUCUCUUCAUAGGAAGCUUAAGUUGGAAAAAGACAAUCGAAUGUUGACUUAUGUGUUAGAGGGAUAGGAUGUAACUUUUGAUUGUUGAGAUAGCUUUGGGAGGUUAUUUUGGAGUUAAGAGCAUGCUCAUAAUGAGUUUUCGAGGUUUGGAGUAGAUUUAGGCUUGAAUUGGCGAAGUUGAUAUUUUUGGCGAUUUUUGGUUGGUAGGUGAGAUUUUGAUAUAAGGGGUCGAAACUGAAUUCCGAGAGUUGCACUAGUCCUGUUGUGUCAAAUGGGAUGCAUGAGUAAAAUUUCAGGUCAUUCGACAUGGCUUGAUUGGGUUUUUGAUCAAAAAUGGAAUUCAGAAAAUUUUGGAAGUUUAGGCUUGAAUCCGAUGUGUUUUGGUUGAUCCAAUGUUGUUUGAGGCAUUUUGAAGAUUGGUAUAAGUUUGAAUAAGGUUAUGGGUUAUGUUUGUUCUUUUUCUUGAGGUCUCGGGUGCCUUGGCUACUUUUGUAUGGUUGACGGAGAAGUUGGUGUUUUUGGUGAGUUGCAGAUUUUUGGUACUUCUGGUAUUUUCACACAUUCAGAUCGGAGAACGCAGGUGCGAUGCCGCAGACGCGAGAAGGGAGGUUGCAAAAGCGAAAACUGUUUGGGAAGGCACGAACCGCAGAUUCGGCUGUUGGACCGCACCUGUGAAGGUACAUGUGUGGAAUAUUCAUUGCAGAUGCGAUUUUGGCCGGUUAAGUGAAGAACCGUAGAAGCGGUUCAUUGGCCGCAAAUGUGGUACUGCAAAAGUGGAAAUUGGGUCGCAAAUGCGAAAAUUUUCUGGGUCAGAAUGUAUAAGUUAUUUCCUUCACAAAUUUUGGAGGGUUUCAUUAUUUUUAAAAGCAAUUUCUGGAGUUUUGGAGGAUUGAAAAAGAUUUCAAGGAAUUUCAUUGAGGUAAGGGUUUUGGACCUAAAACUCAUUCUUAUGGUAUUAUUUCAUGAAUUAAAGCUAUAAUUAAUGGAAUUGAAGGGUUUAAAUUGGGGAAAACUAGGGCUUUGAAACUUAGGCCUAGACUUGAGGAUUUAAGGGACCAUUGGUGGUCAGAUUUAAGAGCUUUUGAUAUGUACGAACUCGUGGGGGGAUAAAGAAUCUAUUGAUGUUAAUUUUAUCAAAUUCUUAGACGCAUCCCCGGGGUUGGGUUUUGGUAACUUUGGGAUUUAGGCAAUAAAUUUAUUACCUUCGCUUGGGCUUCAUUAACUUAGCAUAAUUUGAUGUCGUGAUUUUAAUUAUGGACAGAUUCGACGCGAAUAGGGGCUAAUUCGAGGGGAAAAGGCGUUGCGGGCUAGAGAUUUUACCGGAUUGAGGUGAGUAAUGAUUGUAAAUGGUGUUCAGAGGGUAUGAAACCCCAGAUUGCACAUCGUUGUGCUGUUUUAAGGUGACAUACAUGCUUGAUGAGGAGUAUAGGGUCGUGCACUGUCGGGGAUUGGGAGUUAGUCCAUCCCGGAUGACUAUUUUACGAUGUAUGUAACUGAAAUCUAUUUGUUAAUAUCAUGUAUUGGGCUGAACGUCAUAUUUAGGCCUCGUGUAAUCAAUUUGAAUCCUUAGGGAAUUUUUAUUGAUAUUUUCUCACUAUUUUGACUUUAUACUUGAACUCGGUCAUGCUAUAUUUUCACUGUUUUAUAACUCAGCCAUGUUUGUUCUGUUUGAUGAUUUUAACUUAAUACGGACGAGGGCCUAUGUUGUGAGGAAACACUGAUCAUGAUUUUGAGGCCGAUGGUCUUAGAUAUGUUCAUAACGGGGUAUCUUGUUGAUUAUGAGGUCAAGGGUCUAAGAUUUAUAUGCCAUGAGAAAGCUUGUUAUUGCGCUUGGGCCGUAAGGGGCCCCUCUAAGAGUCUUCACACCCUUCGUUAGCGCGGGUACCCAUUGUUAUGUGAGAUAUAGUCCGAGGGUUGGUAUAGUUCUGAAAUAUUGCCCGAGGGGCGGAUUGUUAAUAUUGUGCCAAAGAGGCGAACCUUUAUGUGUUUAUCUUUCUUAUUUAUCUUUUAAUUACCUGUUUAAUUGUUGAAAAGGUAUUUCCUAAGGUUUCAAACUGCACUUAAAUAAUUUUUCAUAUCUUUACCAGUUUAACUGCUUCAUCAUAGCCUGUAAUGUGCCUUACAUGUUUCCAUAUCUCUCAGUCGUUUAUUUAUGACUAUUACUUACUGAAUUGGAGUACUCACUUUACUCCUUACGUCAUAUGUGUAAAUUCAUGCACAUCUGGUCCCACUCUCGAGUGUUGAUCUUUCUAGCUCAGGAAUAUCCGUAGAAUCUCCAGGUAGCUACCAGCAUUCGUAGCUCAGAGCUUCUUCCCUAUCUUAUUGUUUUUGUUUUGUAUCAAACUCUAUAGACUUUUCUUGAUUAAUUCAAAUUUUAGAUGCCCAUUUUCACACCUACUUUUUUGCACUAUACCUCGCGAAGGGCGUCGAAAAGGAGUUUUUCUAAUUAAAGGACAAUCGGAACGAGAUAUAUUUAUUUAAAGAUUUCAGAGUCUCCACUUGAGAUAAUUAAUGGUGUCCAAAGUCAACAGUUUAAAAUCCCGAAUCGAGGAAGGUUUGACUCUAUAAUACAGUCUACGAGCAAGAAAUUCAGGUAAGGAAUUAUGUUAACUCGGGAGAAGGUGUUAGGCAUUCCCGAGUUUCGUGGUUCUAGCACGGUCGCUCAACUGUUAUAUUCGGCUUGAUUAGUUGACUUUAAUACAUGUUUUAGCCUAUAGUUCAAUUUUAAAUAUAUAAGCGGUUGUUAUUUAAUUAUUGUUAGGAAAGAUUCAACAUCAUCUAAAACACGUCUUGAACCACGUCACAUAAAUGCACCCGCGGUCCACGACAUAUUUUAUCUAAUAUUGUUGAAAUUAUUAUUUGGGUCACAUAAAUGAACACCCAAAUUUAGAAAGGUAAUUUUUGAAAUAGUACACCUAAAGCAACUAAGCACUUUCACUAUUCUUCAUAAAACUAAUUUGAGAUUAUUGUGAGGUAAUAAGUUAUGGAAUUAUUAUGGCAAAAGUGAAGUAGCGUAGAUUUUUAUUUUUCACCCAAUUUAUAUUUGAGCCCGGAUCAUAAUCAUUGCUGUGACUUAUUAAAAAUCCAAAAAAUCUCAUUCGUCUCACUUUAAAUUUAUAACAUCCAAUGGCUCUAGUAUACCACAGUUCCUUUAGCGUAAGGCUCUAUUUUUCAACUUUUAUUAGAUAACUAUAAUAAUUUUGAACUUAAAGCCAUAUUUUGUUUCAUGAAACAAGAACUUAAAAUAAUUGAAAGCUAGCAACAAAACACCAACUAAGGAAUAAAAUGCUAACGUAAAAAUUAUUUUAAAAAAUGACAUUCCUUCAAAAUAAUGACGUAUUUAAGUUCAAGUAUAACAUGGAUUUCUCAUAUCAUAUUAAUCUAAUAACAUAGGUGAGAAGCUAACAUUUAAUUACAUAAGAAACUAAUUCUAAUCUAACAAACAUAAUUUAAAAUAGAAAUAAAAGAAAAAAUAAUGAAACACUCAAACAGAUCUAAAUGAAAAUGGAAACAUUUAUCUAAUGCAAACAAGAAAUUAGAGGAAAUGAACCUUUGAUGUAAAUAUUCUGCCAAUAAAUUAAGAAGAAAACCUUCUACAGCUCAUCAAUCGUUAGUCCAAAACGAAAUAAAAUCCAGCAGCACCAUACGGACUAGAAGGAGACUCAAACGAAAAUCAGGACUAGUGAUUUCGACCGGCGACGAAAAUCUGAACGCGACUGUUCUGAUUUCUUUUAACUAAUUUCAGCAAAUCUUUUGGCUCGUGUUUGGGUGGUAUAAGAGGUGGAUUUCAUGGUUGUUCGCAGCUGGUUUUUUCUACUAUUUCAGAAUUCAUUUUGACUGAAAUACAGAGCUAUUUUCAAACUUAUUUUUGAACUUAUUUUGAUUGUUGAAAUACUGGAGCUUCAAGGCUGGUGUUCAUGGAUGUUUGGAUCUGGUUUUUUAGGUGUCUUUUGGGGCUGAAAUUUUUGGUUUAACAAAAUAGUAAUGAAACUGAAACCUAUGGGUCUUUCAUGGUUAUUCAGUAAGGAAGAUGAAGUUGUUUUUAGAAAGAAGAUGGGCCGCAGUGCUGCCUCCUUUUCCAGCCUUCUUUGUAUUAUCUUUAUAGGUAGAGUGUAGGUUUAGGGUGUAAUUUUUGUGUAAUUGUCAAUUAGUCCCUGGAUCUUUUUGUGUU
rnacentral:lncRNA from 1 species